ACUCUGAACUUGGCAUUUGAUUAAAGGAGAAUAAAUUGCCCCUUCUGCAUAUUUCCAGAUUUCCAGGCAAUGUAUUCUCAGUGUAUAUAUGCUCUAAAUGCCAAACUCGCUCGGCUCAACCCUGCUCUCUACAGGCGAAUCAUUGGUAUUUCGACUUUUUAAGGUGGACCGGAAAAUCCAAAUAAAACACUAGCGAAUAAGAAGCUAACUUUAGCCUCGUAAACAACUGCCCAUCGAGCACGGAGGAGCUGACCCAGCACAGAGUGCUAAUCUGCUAAUCUGGGCAUACAGUCACCCACACAUUCACACACUCAGGCAUUUUAAGGGUGUCUUGGCCAUUUAGAAUAUCCAUUUUACCUGAUCUUUAUAUUUUUGGACUGUGGGAGAAAACCGGAGUCCCUGGAGGAAACCUACACAGACGCAUAGAGAACACGGAAAAUCCACCCAGAUAGGGACUCUAAGGACCCCAGCCCUGGGAGGCGAAUGUGUGAACCACUAUGCUAUCAUGCCCCACUCUGCUCACUGUGCUAAUACACGUGAGUGGAGACCCAUGCAAGAUUUGGAUUUCAGCACUGGACAGCUCCCAAGAUAUAUCAAUUAAGAGUUCAACUCAAGUAAAGAGGCUUUUAUUGUCAUUACAUCUGCUGAGUACAGGUACACAGGGUAACGAAAUUACGAAUUGCAAACUUGUAAUGAUAAAACUAUAACACUACAAUAAAUACAGUAAAUGCAACAGACAAUACAGUUUAAAAGACAGGACAGAGCAGUACCGAUUCGGUAUAAUAAUGUGCAUUGGGAGGAUAAGGUGCAUAUAUAUGUAACAUACUGUAACAUAUAGAACAUACAUGAUUACAACAGUUACUGAAAGUUUAUAGUUCUAUAGAAUAAAGCAGCAAAUAUUGCUGAUAGCCAUAGAGACAUUUUAAUCUGUGUGUGUGUAAGUAAAGUGAUGGGUGGGUUCAGUACAGUCUCUGCGUGUUGAGGAGUCUGACUGCCUGGUGGAAGAAGCUGUUGCAGAGUCUGCAUGACUCCUGUAUCUUCUGCCGGACUGUCGAACCCGACCUGACCUGGGGCCUGACCCAACAAAAGUAGUCUGUGACGUAGACGUGUCAGGAAUGGGUGCAGGCAGGAAGACAUGCAGGCGGACACAAAUGCAGGAUUGACGCAGGAGCAGAGAAAGGAUGCGGAGAGCAGACGAAAAUAACUGUAUAUUUUACUACCAGCAGAAGAAGAAGAGUACCCAGACCUGUGGGGCAGGGCUGGACUGGGUGUGGGUGGGGAAGCAGCAGUGCUACAUGGUGAAUCACAGUUUUUCAUUACGAGCUGGGAUCUCUCCGAGGAUACACACCUGCCUCCAACACACAUGCAUGCACACAGCUGUGUUACCAUGGAGACGCAGCCAACCAAUGACAGGCGCUGAUUUUCCCUCCAGGGACUCUGCUGACCUAAAAGGGAACGGGGUGCAUUUAUUUUCUGGUAAAGCCAUCUUUAGUGACUCUGAAGUGUAAAUUAUACCAAUCCUGCCUCAGCACGGCUAAUUUUAGCCUGAAAGUACAGAGAGAGACUCUCAGAAAUAUGUGUGAGAUUAUGUACUGUAUGUAUUAUGUAUUUUAAUUAGAAGAACAGUAAAAAAUACCAGUACUGUUAUUAAGAUAAUAUAAUAUAAUUAUUUGCUGUAAAUGUAAUUACGUGUGUGUGUGUGUGUGUGUGUGUGUGUGUGUGUGUGUGUGUGUGUGUGUGUUUCUUCCCAUAUUCUCAGUAGUGGGUGGAGUUUAUGCUAUGUGCAGCUGAAUCUGUUGCUAGGCAAGAACAGUAAGGGCUGUCACCUCUCGGCCAAUCAGGUGUUGCUGCACAGCUCCUGUUCCGAUUAACCAAUAAAGUGUUCAAUUCAUUCUUUAGUUCUUCUACAAAUAUGUUUUUUUAUGUUUCUGAUGCUUGUAGUAAC